GAUAACGGGUAAUGGAGUCCAACUGCCGCAAACUUGUCUCCGCCUGUGUUCAGCUAGCUUUGGAAAUUACGAGGGCGGUGAGGUAAUUUCGCGAGAUAGGCACCGUCGGUGGCCACGAGGAGAACGAUCGCUAACUAGAACCACUGGCAUUAACAGCAAAACAUGAGACUGUUUUGUCAAAUCGAUGGUUCUGCGAAAGGAGGAAACGAAAUUCAGUAGGAGAACCUCCAAAACUACACGGCAUGCCGGCUUCCCCCGGGGAAUGGGGCGCAGAGGGGGAGGGCUGUUCCAGAAGAAACGAGUCCGAGGCCAUGCCGAGGAAAGGAAAAUGGGAAAGUAUGAAAAUAUUAUUGCAGCCUAGAGUGUCAAACGCAGCCCGACGGGUGUCAGAUUUCUUCAGAGAGACAGGAAAAUUGCUGCUGGGUGACCAGUCCCACAAAAUUAGGAAAACUUCAGCACAUGCUUCAGCAGACCCACAGCACUUGUAAAUGGUUGUCGGUGGUGGGUUUGUUUGAGUAAUUUUUAUGCAGGGUGAAAGGAUGCUUAAGGUGUUUGUGUGUACGUAUAUAUAUACAUAAUCUAUACGAUUUGUUAGGUCUGCGAAUUCUACUUAAGGAAUCCUUCCCUGUAAUCGAUAAUCUGGGUAUUGCUGAAACAGCAGCUUCCAGCAUAAAAUGUUGAAAUUACAUUCCGUCUUGUACCACCAUUCAGCAUUCCAAAUUGAUUGUUCCAAUACUAUCAAAAAAAAAAAAAAAAAAGGAAAAAGAAGAAA